rnacentral:rRNA from 1 species
CGGGUGAGUAACGCGUGGAGAACCUGCCGUAUACUGGGGGAUAACACUUAGAAAUAGGUGCUAAUACCGCAUAAGCGCACAGCUUCGCAUGAAGCAGUGUGAAAAACUCCGGUGGUAUACGAUGGAUCCGCGUCUGAUUAGCUGGUUGGCGGGGUAAAGGCCCACCAAGGCGACGAUCAGUAGCCGGCCUGAGAGGGUGAACGGCCGCAUUGGGACUGAGACACGGCCCAAACUCCUACGGAAGGCAGCAG